rnacentral:snRNA from 1 species
AACUUUGGGCAGCGGCAGUGUCGUAGCCAAUAAGGUUCAUCCGAGGCAGGAUGAUUGCUGAUUGAAAAAGUUGAGUGUCAGUUACAUGAGUACAAUGAGCACUUUUAAAUAUAACCCUAAAGUU